rnacentral:rRNA from 1 species
ACUCCUACGGGAGGCAGCAGUGGGGAAUUUUGGACAAUGGGCGAAAGCCUGAUCCAGCCAUGCCGCGUGCAGGAUGAAGGCCUUCGGGUUGUAAACUGCUUUUGUACGGAACGAAACGGCCUUUUCUAAUAAAGAGGGCUAAUGACGGUACCGUAAGAAUAAGCACCGGCUAACUACGUGCCAGCAGCCGCGGUAAUACGUAGGGUGCAAGCGUUAAUCGGAAUUACUGGGCGUAAAGCGUGCGCAGGCGGUUAUGUAAGACAGUUGUGAAAUCCCCGGGCUCAACCUGGGAACUGCAUCUGUGACUGCAUAGCUAGUGUACGGUAGAGGGGGAUGGAAUUCCGCGUGUAGCAGUGAAAUGCGUAGAUAUGCGGAGGAACACCGAUGGCGAAGGCAAUCCCCUGGACCUGUACUGACGCUCAUGCACGAAAGCGUGGGGAGCAAACAGGAUUAGAAACCCUAGUAGUCCCAUG